AGUGAACGCUGGCGGUAGGCCUAACACAUGCAAGUCGAACGGCAGCACAGUAAGAUCUUGCUCUUACGGAUGGCGAGUGGCGUAAGGGUGAGGAAUACAUCGUAAUCUACUUUUUCGUGGGGGUUAACGUAGGGAAACCUACUCUAAUAUCGCAUACGACCUACGAGUGCAAGCACGGGAUCUUUGCACCUUGCGCGAUUGCAUAAGCCGGUGUCGGAUUAUCUAGUUGGCGGGGUAAAGGCCCACCAAGACGACGAUCCGUAGCUGGUCUGAGAGGAGGAUCAGCCACACUGGAAGGGAGCAACGGCCCAGCCUCCUACGGGAGGCAGCAGUGGGGAAUAUUGGACAAUGGGCGAAAGCCUGACCCAGCCAGACCGCGUGGGUGAAGAAGGCCUCCGGGUUGUAAAGCCCUUUUUUAGGGAAAGAAAAGCAGCAGGUUGAUACGCAGAUGUUCUGACGGUACCUAAAGAAUAAGCACCGGCUAACUUCGUG
rnacentral:rRNA from 1 species